rnacentral:rRNA from 1 species
AGCAGCCGCGGUAAUUCCAGCUCCAAUAGCGUAUAUUAAAGUUGUUGCAGUUAAAAAGCUCGUAGUUGAAUUUCGGGGUCAGUAGGUAUGGUCGUGCCACCGGUACGUACUGGUCUCACUGAUUCCUCCUUCCUGAUGAGCUGUAUAUGCCAUUAAUUUGGUGUUGCAGUGGCAAUCUGGACUGUUACUUUGAAAAAAUUAGAGUGUUUAAAGCAGGCUAACGCUUGAAUACAUUAGCAUGGAAUAAUGAAAUAGGACGUUCGAUCCUAUUUUGUUGGUUUCUAGGAUUGACGUAAUGAUUAAUAGGGAUAGUUGGGGGCAUUAGUAUUCAAUUGUCAGAGGUGAAAUUCUUGGAUUUAUUGAAGACUAACUACUGCGAAAGCAUUUGCCAAGGAUGUUUUCAUUAAUCAAGAACGAAAGUUAGGGGAUCGAAGACGAUCAGAUACCGUCGUAGUCUUAACCAUAAACUAUGCCGACUAGGGAUCGGAUGAUGUUAAUUUUUUAAUGACUCA